rnacentral:rRNA from 1 species
UAAAGCAACUAAGGGCACAUGGUGGAUGCCUUGGCUCUGAGAGGCGAUGAAGGACGUGGUAAGCUGCGAUAAGCUGCGGGGAGAUGCACACAAUCGUUACAUCCGCAGAUUUCCGAAUGGGACAACCCGUUACGCUGAAGGCGUAACAUCUCGAAAGAGAAGCCAACCCCGAGAACUGAAACAUCUAAGUACCGGGAGGAAAAGAAAAUAAAAUAAAAUAAUGAUUCCCUGAGUAGUGGCGAGCGAAAUGGGAACAGCCUAAACUUCGGCGGCGUGCCGCUGGAGGGUUGUAGGACCACAUUUAGAAACUGUCAUCAAGCUGAACUUUCUGGAAAGUUAGGCCAUAGAGCGUGAUAGCCGCGUAAGCGUAAAUUGACAGGGACGAGUGGUAUCCUGAGUAGGGCGGGACCGGAGAAAUCCUGCUUGAAUCUGCCAGCACCAUCUGGUAAGGCUAAAUACUCCUCAGAGACCGAUAGUGAACCAGUACCGUAAGGGAAAGGUGAAAAGCACCCUAAACAAGGGAGUGAAAUAGUACCUGAAACCGUGUGCCUACAAGCGGUCGGAGCGGAGCAAUCCGUGACGGCGUGCCUUUUGCAUAAUGAACCUACGAGUUGCUCCUCACAGGCGAGGUUAAGUUCUUUAUUAACGGAGCCGUAGCGAAAGCGAGUCCAAAUAGGGCGAUUUAGUCUGUGGGGGCAGACGCGAAACUUUGUGAUCUAUCCAUGGGCAGGAUGAAGGAGGGGUAACACUCUCUGGAGGUCCGAACUCAUUAACGUUGAAAAGUUAUGGGAUGACCUGUGGAUAGGGGUGAAAGGCCAAUCAAACUGAGAGAUAGCUCGUUCUCCCCGAAAUGUUUUUAGGAACAGCGUUGCAUUUUAGAAGUCUAUUAGAGGUAGAGCUACUGAUUGGGCUAGGGGGCUUCACCGCCUACCAAACCCUGACAAACUCCGAAUGCUAACAUAUAUCUCCGGGAGUGAGGCUACGGGUGCUAAGAUCCGUGGCCGAGAGGGAAAUAACCCAGAAUAACAGCUAAGGUCCCUAAUAAGUAGUUAAGUUGAUCAAACGAGGUAGGACUUCUAUAACAGCCAGGAUGUUUGCUUGGAAGCAGCAAUUCAUUUAAAGAGUGCGUAACAGCUCACUGGUCGAGAGGUCCCGCACGGAAAAUAAUCGGGCAUCAAACUACUAACCGAAGCUCUAUGAUCCCAGCUUGGCUGGUGAUCGGUAGGGGAGCAUUGAAACUGCAUCGAAGGUGUGCGGUGACGCAUGCUGGAGCGGUUUCAAAAGAAAAUGUAGGCAUAAGUAACGAUAAACAAGGUGAAAAACCUUGUCGCCGAAAGUCUAAGGGUUCCUGAUCAACGUUAAUCGGAUCAGGGUUAGUCGGGUCCUUAGGAGAACCCGAAAGGGGUAUCUGAUGGAAAGCAGGUUAAUAUUCCUGCACCUGCUAUACAUUAAAAGUGACGAAGAGCCGUGGUGGCUACGUGCUGACGGAUAUGCACGUUGAGCUGAGGGUUCGCCCAAAGCGAAGUCAUAAAAGUUCUUCCGAGAAAAGCGAGUAUAGCGGCCCGUACCGCAAACCGACACAGGUAGACGGGAUGAAUAUUCUAAGGCGCUCGGGUGAGCCGUGGAGAAGGAACUAGGCAAAUUGACGCUGUAACUUCGGGAUAAAGCGUACCUACUUCGGUAGGUCUCAGUAAAAUGGUUCAACCAACUGUUUAACAAAAACACAGGGCCCUGCAAAAUCGAAAGAUGACGUAUAGAGCCUGAUACCUGCCCGGUGCUGGAAGGUUAAGGAAGGGUGUUCGGACCGCAAGGUCCAAAGCUCCUGACUGAAGCCCCAGUAAACGGCGGCCGUAACUAUAACGGUCCUAAGGUAGCGAAAUUCCUUGUCGGGUAAGUUCCGACCUGCACGAAUGGUCUAAUGAGUUGAACACUGUCUCCUCCACGAGCCCGGUGAAAUUGUAGUAUCGGUGAAGAUGCCGGUUACCCGCCACGGGACGGAAAGACCCCGUGAACCUUCACUACAACUUUGCAUUGAUUUUGAACAAACAAUGUGUAGCAUAGUUGGGAGACUUUGAAGCUGCCUCGCCAGGGGUGGUGGAGUCAUCGUUGAAAUACCAACCUUUGUUUGUUUAGAGUCUAAUCCCUAACGGGAAACAGUGCAUGGUGGGUAGUUUGACUGGGGUGGUCGCCUCCUAAAAAGUAACGGAGGCUUGCAAAGGUUCCCUCAGUACGGUUGGUAAUCGUACGUAGAGCGCAUCAGUAUAAGGGAGCUUGACUGUGAGACAUACAGGUCGAGCAGGGACGAAAGUCGGCUGAAGUGAUCCGGUGGUUCUGCAUGGAAGGGCCAUCGCUCAAAGGAUAAAAGGUACUCCGGGGAUAACAGGCUGAUCUCCCCCAAGAGCUCAUAUCGACGGGGAGGUUUGGCACCUCGAUGUCGGUUCGUCACAUCCUGGGGCUGGAGAAGGUCCCAAGGGUUCGGCUGUUCGCCGAUUAAAGUGGCACGUGAACUGGGUUCAGAACGUCGCAAGACAGUUCGGUCCCUAUCUGUGGUGGGCGCAAGUAAAUUGCGAGGACAUGACCUUAGUACGAGAGGACCGGGUCGUACGUACCGCUGGUGUAUCAGUUGUGCCGCCAGGUGCAAUGCUGAGUAGCUAUGUACGGACAGGAUAAACGCUGAAAGCAUCUAAGCGUGAAACCUUCCUCAAGAUGAGUUUACUUUUAAGAGCCGUCAGAGACUAUGACGUUGAUAGGCUACAGGUGUAAAGCUAGUAAUAGCAAAGCCGAGUAGUACUAAUUGCUCGUACGCUUUAAUUU